rnacentral:rRNA from 1 species
UACGAAGGGGGCUAGCGUUGCUCGGAAUCACUGGGCGUAAAGGGUGCGUAGGCGGGUUUUUAAGUCAGGGGUGAAAUCCUGGAGCUCAACUCCAGAACUGCCUUUGAUACUGAAGAUCUUGAGUUCGGGAGAGGUGAGUGGAACUGCGAGUGUAGAGGUGAAAUUCGUAGAUAUUCGCAAGAACACCAGUGGCGAAGGCGGCUCACUGGCCCGAUACUGACGCUGAGGCACGAAAGCGUGGGGAGCGAACGGG